AACUAACGCUGGCGGCGUGCCUAACACAUGCAAGUCGCACGAGAAAGUUGGCUUCGGCCGAUGAGUAAAGUGGCGCACGGGUGAGUAACGCGUGGAUAAUCUACCCUUAAGUUGGGAAUAACUCAUCGAAAGGUGGGCUAAUACCGAAUAAUACUGCAUAACUACUGUUGUGUAGUCAAAGAUGGCCUCUGCUUGCAAGCUAUCGCUGAAGGAUGAGUCCGCGUACCAUUAGCUAGUUGGUAGGGUAAUGGCCUACCAAGGCAACGAUGGUUAGCUGGUCUGAGAGGAUGAUCAGCCACACUGGAACUGAGACACGGUCCAGACUCCUACGGGUGGCUG
rnacentral:rRNA from 1 species